rnacentral:rRNA from 1 species
UACGAAGGGUGCAAGCGUUACUCGGAAUUACUGGGCGUAAAGCGUGCGUAGGUGGUGAGUUAAGUCUGUCGUGAAAGCCCCGGGCUCAACCUGGGAAUGGCGAUGGAUACUGGCUCGCUAGAGUGCGGUAGAGGAGAGUGGAAUUCCCCGGUGUAGCAGUGAAAUGCGUAGAGAUCGGGAGGAACAUCAGUUGCGAAGGCGGCUCUCUGGACCAGCACUGACCACU